rnacentral:rRNA from 1 species
CUAUUUAACUAUAUUAUUCUAUUUGUAUAAAUUAUUUUCUUUAUGUUAAUGUAUUUGAUAUCAAAUAUUUAUAGAAGAUCUAUUUAAUAUAAUGUUUAAAAUACAUAUAGAAAUACUUUUUUUAUCUG